GGACCUAAGGCGAGGCCGAAAGGCGUAGUCGAUGGGAACCUGGUUAAUAUUCCAGGGCCUGGUGGAUGUGACGAAUGGUGGUAGCAGUGAGGUCUUAUCGGAUUGAUCUUGCUGUGAAACUGUUCCAGGAAAUAACACCACCUUAUAGACCGUACCCGAAACCAACACAGGUGGACUGGUAGAGUAUACCAAGGCGCUUGAGAGAACGAUACUGAAGGAACUCGGCAAAUUGCACGCGUAACUUCGGGAUAAGCGUGACCUUGUACUGGGCAACCGGUAUCAAGGUGGCACAAAAGAGGGGGUGGCGACUGUUUAUCAAAAACACAGGGCUCUGCGAAGCCGUAAGGCGACGUAUAGGGUCUGACGCCUGCCCGGUGCCGGAAGGUUAAAAGGAGAAGUGCAAGCUUUGAAUUGAAGCCCCGGUGAACGGCGGCCGUAACAAUAACGGUCCUAAGGUAGCGAAAUUCCUUGUCGGGUAAGUUCCGACCCGCACGAAAGGCGUAACGAUUUGGGCACUGUCUCAACGAGAGACUCGG
rnacentral:rRNA from 11 species